AGGUACUGUGCCUGAGGUAAAGUCCCGGUCUUCGAGUCAGCCAAUGCCUUGCGGGGGUUGUUUGCAGUCCUUCCGUGUGGAUCGUUGUGUCCAUUUUCCAUUAUCUCGAAUAUAGGGGAGUGUAAAGUCCCGGUGCAGAGAGGGUUUAAGGUCUGUGGAGUGACCCAAGUCCCCCCUGCAGUUUCCUGUAUGUGGUAUGUUUCUUGGUCCAAUCACGGUCUAGGAGGGCCUGCUGGGUGCUGUUGCCUUUUUGGGCUUCAUGCUCUGCCUGCCCCCCGGUCUGUUCGGGCUAUUUGCACAUCUCUUGGUUUUCUGCCGGUCCGCUGCUCGUGAGUGUGGGGGUCUUAGGCACUGUCUUUUAGGCAGGUUCGUAAGCGUGGUCCCGUGUUGGUCUCGUGUUGGUGUUGGCCUGUCCCGGCUGUAGUGGUGGGGGGGUUACUAUUCCCCUUCACUUGGCUAUCCGUCGUGACCAGUGUGCCAGAUCGUUGGGAUCAGUCUCCGACACCGGAGGGUUCAUGCGGGCCUCUAGUUUCCUCCAGAAGGCGUUGAAGAUUUUAUUUAAGCGGAGCUCCAUCUCCAGCCUUGCACCACCUGGGUCAGCGUUACAGGAGGCAUGCACCUUUUUGUGAGUCCUGCUGGUAGUAGUCUUGGGACUCCUAAAUAGAGUUGCUUGUUCACUGCUGUGCCGGGGGAUCAUGUUGGGGUAGACCAGGAUAACCCCCGCCAGUCUAUUGGGGGGGAACGAGGGCUCUGGUUCAGGUUCUCGGCAUGUCGCAGCAGCAGGAGAGCGGCCGUCCCUCCAGUGCUUACCGUGCUUGUAGGUCGAGUGAAUACUGCAUGGGAUGUCGCUUGGGUUGUGUCAUCUUGUUCACCUCGAUGUCCCCCUUCACCUGGUGGCCUUAUUGUGUAGAGUAGUAGCCUUUUUGGUGGCGAAAGUUAGUGUUUUCUGCUUCAUGUAGCAGGAGCUGCUGAGGCUAGCGUCCUCUCAGCUCUGCGGUCAGGCCCCGCCCCCCCAAGAAUUAUGUAUGUUAUACAAGGAAGCAAUGUUCGAUUGCCUAUUUACUGUUUGGUUUUUAUACUUCCUACAUUGUACAAUAAUUUGUACUUUCAUUUUUUUUGCUUAGACUUAGACUACCCAGUAAAUAUAAAAAAAAAACUAAUAAAAAACCCUGCAACGUUUUAUUUCUUAUUUUUUAUUUCAUUUUCCAUACAAAGAACAUGAAGCUUAAAGUGACUAAAAGGAGAAAUACAUAUCAUCACAAAAAAACAAAACAAAGCAGAUGAGUG